GAUGAACGCUAGCGACAGGCUUAACACAUGCAAGUCGAGGGGCAGCACAAGGUAGCAAUACUGAGGUGGCGACCGGCGCACGGGUGAGUAACGCGUAUGCAACUUACCUAUCAGAGGGGGAUAACCCGGCGAAAGUCGGACUAAUACCGCAUAAAACAGGGGCUCCGCAUGGAGAUAUUUGUUAAAGAUUCAUUGCUGAUAGAUAGGCAUGCGUUCCAUUAGGCAGUUGGUGGGGUAACGGCUCACCAAACCGACGAUGGAUAGGGGUUCUGGGAGGAAGGUCCCCCACAUUGGAACGUAGACACGGUCCAAACUCCUACGGGAGGCAGCAGUGUGGAAUAUUGGUCAAUGGGCGAGAGCCUGAACCAGCCAAGUCGCGUGAAGGAUGAAGGUUCUAUGGAUUGUAAACUUCUUUUAUAGGGGAAUAAAGUGCGGGACGUGUCCCGCUUUGUAUGUACCUAACGGAUAAGCAUCGGCUAACUCCGUGCCAGCCGCCGCAGUAACAC
rnacentral:rRNA from 1 species